GAUGACGCUAGCGAUAGGCUUAACACAUGCAAGUCGAGGGGCAGCGGGUUGGUAGCUUGCUACCGAUGCCGGCGACCGGCGGAAGGGUGCGUAACGCGUGUGCAACUUACCUGUCAGAGUGGGAUAACCCGGAGAAAUUCGGACUAAUACCGCAUAUACUUUCUAAACUGCAUGGAAUAGAGAGGAAAGGAUUUAUUGCUGACAGAUAGGCACGCGUCCCAUUAGUUAGUUGGAGAGGUAACGGCUCACCAAGGCAGCGAUGGGUAGGGGAGCUGAGAGGCAUAACCCCCACAUUGGAACUGAGACACGGUCCAAACUCCUACGGGAGGCAGCAGUGAGGAAUAUUGGUCAAUGGGCGAGAGCCUGAACCAGCCAAGUCGCGUGAAGGAAGACGGUCCUAAGGAUUGUAAACUUCUUUAGUAGGGGAGUAGAGGCAGCUACGCGUAGCUGUAGGCAAGUACCCUAAGAAUAAGUAUCGGCUAACUCCGUGCCAGCAGCCGCGGUAAUACGGAGGAUACGAGCGUUAUCCGGAUUUAUUGGGUUUAAAGGGUGCGCAGGUGGUCGAGAAAGUCAGUGGUGAAAGGUCCGGGCUCAACCCGGGAAUUGCCGUUGAAACUGUUUGACUUGAGUGUAGAUGAUGUAGGCGGAAUGCGUAGUGUAGCGGUGAAAUGCAUAGAUAUUACGCAGAACUCCGAUUGCGAAGGCAGCUUACAAAGUUACAACUGACACUGAGGCACGAAAGCGUGGGGAUCAAACAGGAUUAGGUACCCUGGUAGUCCACGCUGUAAACGAUGAUUACUCAGAGUAUGCGAUAGAGGGUAUGCUCUCAAGCGAAAGCGAUAAGUAAUCCACCUGGGGAGUACGCCGGCAACGGUGAAACUCAAAGGAAUUGACGGGGGCCCGCACAAGCGGAGGAACAUGUGGUUUAAUUCGAUGAUACGCGAGGAACCUUACCCGGGAUUGAAAUGUGCAUGAAGGUGCGAGAGAUUGCACCGACCCUUCGGGGCAUGUAUGUAGGUGCUGCAUGGUUGUCGUCAGCUCGUGCCGUGAGGUGUCGGCUUAAGUGCCAUAACGAGCGCAACCCACGUCUCCAGUUACUAACAGGUGAUGCUGAGGACUCUGGAGAGACUGCCGUCGUAAGGCGCGAGGAAGGUGUGGAUGACGUCAAAUCAGCACGGCCCUUACAUCCGGGGCGACACACGUGUUACAAUGGUGAGGACAAAGGGCAGCUACCGGGCGACCGGAUGCGAAUCUCCAAACCUCAUCUCAGUUCGGAUCGGAGUCUGCAACUCGACUCUGUGAAGCUGGAUUCGCUAGUAAUCGCGCAUCAGCCAUGGCGCGGUGAAUACGUUCCCGGGCCUUGUACACACCACCCGUCAAGCCAUGGAAGUCGGGGGUACCUGAAGUGCGUGACCGAAAGGAGCGCACCAGGGUAAGACCGGUGACUGGGCUAAGUC
rnacentral:rRNA from 1 species